AAAACAGUCUGUUAAGCAUGUAAAAGGCAACCAAAACUGCAGUUCAGCACCUAUGAAGUGACUUACUAACUUUGCCUGCGUAAGGAUUCUGGAAUGAAGCAGAAGAAGGAAAGGUGUAAGGGACAAAUAAUGUCUUUCUUAAUUGAUACCAAGUGUACCUCUGGAACUAGAUGAUCCAGCCAUACCAACCGUUUUAGAACAGGUGCUUUUCUCUCUUCACAGAAUCAAAAGAAAAACAACAAAACAACAACAAAAACAAAAACAGAAGCAACAACAACCAAAUGAACAAACAAACAAAAAAACCCAAAUGAAGGGAGAGUCAGUUUCCCCUAGGGCUGAAACUUUGCAGCAGUUUACAGUAAGUAGACUAAACUUGUUGAAGGGAUUUGUGAUGGUGUUCUAAGGGAGGGGCUUGCUGCUCUGGCUCUCAGGCCUAUAGGCCCUAGUGUUGAUGUGCCUGGAGAGCACUGGGGGGUGGGGCUUGGUGUAAUGGCUCUAUUCUCCACUCAGUGGUGCUGUUUAGCUCACUGGGAUUGAUCAGUGCUGGUGGGCUAAUAGUGGAAAAUGGCUUCACUGGUUCUCUAGUCUCCAGAGCAGGAGUUUGCAUCCUUGAACAUGAAGACAUGCAAUCACCCUUCCUGUGUCCCCUGCUUCUGUCAGCUCCCUGCCUUCCCCCU